rnacentral:rRNA from 1 species
UACGGUAGGGCGCAAGCGUUAUCCGGAAUUAUUGGGCGUAAAGAGCUCGUAGGCGGUUUGUCGCGUCUGCCGUGAAAGUCCGGGGCUCAACUCCGGAUUCUGCGGUGGGUACGGGCACACUUGAGUGCUGUAGGGGAGACGUGGAAUUCCUGGUGUAGCGGUGAAAUGCGACAGAUAUCAAGGAGGAACACCGGUGGGCGAAGGCGGGUCUCUGGGCAGUUACUGACGCUGAGGAGCGAAAGCAUGGGGAGCGAACAGG